rnacentral:rRNA from 1 species
GACGAACGCUGGCGGCGUGCUUAACACAUGCAAGUCGAACGGAAAGGCCCUGCUAUUGCGGUGUGCUCGAGUGGCGAACGGGUGAGUAACACGUGAGUAACCUGCCCUUGACUUUGGUAUAACUUCAGGAAACUGGGGCUAAUACCGGAUAUGCGCUCCUGCUGCAAGGAGGGGGUUCGAAAGUUUAGGCGGUUGGGGAUGGACUCGCGGCGUAUCAGCUUGUUGGUGGGGUAGGGGAUUACCAGGGCUUUGACGGGUAGCCGGCCUGAGAGGGUGACCGGACAGAUUGGGACUGAGAUACGGCACAGACUCCUACGGGAGGCAGCAGUGGGGAAUAGUGCACAAUGGGAGGAAGCCUGAUGCAGCAACGCCGCGUGCGGGAUGACGGCCAUCGGGUUGUAAACCGCUGUCGCCUGUGACGAAGCGUGAGUGACGGUAAUGGGUAAAGAAGCACCGGCUAACUACGUG